rnacentral:rRNA from 1 species
UACGGAGGGUGCGAGCGUUGUCCGGAAUUACUGGGCGUAAAGCGCGCGUAGGCGGUCCGGUAAGUCGGUUGUGAAAGUCAAGGGCUCAACCCUUGAAUGCCGACCGAUACUGCCGGGCUAGAGUCCGGAAGAGGUGAGUGGAAUUCCUGGUGUAGCGGUGAAAUGCGUAGAUAUCUGGAGGAACACCGGUGGCGAAGGCGGCAUCCUGGACCGACACUGACGCUGAGGAGCGAAAGCCAGGGGAGCAAACGGG